UAGUAACGGCGAGUGAAGCGGCAACAGCUCAAAUUUGAAAUCUGGCCCCAGGCCCGAGUUGUAAUUUGCAGAGGAUGCUUUUGGCGCGGUGCCUUCCGAGUUCCCUGGAACGGGACGCCAUAGAGGGUGAGAGCCCCGUCUGGUUGGAUACCAAGCCUUUGUAAAGCUCCUUCGACGAGUCGAGUAGUUUGGGAAUGCUGCUCUAAAUGGGAGGUAUAUGUCUUCUAAAGCUAAAUACCGGCCAGAGACCGAUAGCGCACAAGUAGAGUGAUCGAAAGAUGAAAAGCACUUUGGAAAGAGAGUUAAACAGCACGUGAAAUUGUUAAAAGGGAAGCGUUUAUGACCAGACUUGGGCCGGUUAAUCAUCCAGCGUUCUCGCUGGUGCACUUUGCCGGUCCAGGCCAGCAUCAGUUCGCUGCGGGGGAUAAAGGCGUCGGGAAUGUGGCUCCUCUGGAGUGUUAUAGCCCUUCGCGCAAUACCCUGCGGUGGACUGAGGUUCGCGCAUCUGCAAGGAUGCUGGCGUAAUGGUCAUCAACGACCCGUCUUGAAACACGGACCAAGGAGUCGUCUUCGUAUGCGAGUGUUCGGGUGUAAAACCCCUACGCGUAAUGAAAGUGAACGCAGGUGAGAGCUUCGGCGCAUCAUCGACCGAUCCUGAUGUUCUCGGAUGGAUUUGAGUAAGAGCAUACGGGGCCGGACCCGAAAGAAGGUGAACUAUGCCUGUAUAGGGUGAAGCCAGAGGAAACUCUGGUGGAGGCUCGCAGCGGUUCUGACGUGCAAAUCGAUCGUCAAAUAUGGGCAUGGGGGCGAAAGACUAAUCGA
rnacentral:rRNA from 1 species